rnacentral:lncRNA from 1 species
GAGUAUUCACCUCUAUUCAUAGACUUUAGUGUAAUUCGAGUCAGUUCAUUGACAAGUCUGCAACUAGCCCUAUGGCUCCCUUGUCAAGUUCCUCUUGGUUUAAACACCACUUUCCUUUGGUUUAAACACCACAACUUUGGGACACACCUUUAUGGUUAACCCCUUUCGUUUCUUGGUUUAAACACCACUUUCCUUUUAUCUUUGGUUUAAACACCAUAACUUUGGGAUACACCUUUAUGGUUAACCCCUUUCCUUUCUUGGUUUAAACACCACUUUUAUCUUUCUUUUCUUGUUUUAAACACCAAUUUUACCAUUCUUUUAUGUGUUUAAACACCAUAACUUUGGGUUGACACCUAUAGUGGUUAUACACCUUUUUCCUUGGUUUUGACACCACUUUACUUUCCUUUCUUGGUUUUAACACCACAAUAUCUUUCCUUUGGUUUAAACACUGCUUCAGUCAGUUUACCAAAUCCUUAUCUUUUCUUAGGCUUUGUUUUCCGAACUAUGGAGCUAUGACUUACUUAUUGCACUAUAAGGAUAUGUAGGCACGAGGAUGCGGAUCCUUGGCGAGCAUUUUUCUUUUCUUUUCCCCUUUCUCUCUCUGAUUCCAUGAUCUACGAGGCUUUGACUUUCUCAUUGCACCAUGAGAAUACAGAGGCAUGAGGAUCCAUUCCUCUUCGAGCACUCCCUCUCUAACCCAUUUUCUGUUUUACAGGUACAUAAAGAUAACAACAUCCAUC